rnacentral:rRNA from 1 species
GAUCCUGGCUUAGGAUGAACGCUAGCGACAGGCUUAACACAUGCAAGUCGAGGGGCAGCGGGGGUAGCGAUACCCGCCGGCGACCGGCGCACGGGUGAGUAACGCGUAUGCAACUUGCCUAUCAGAGGGGGAUAACCCGGCGAAAGUCGGACUAAUACCGCAUGAAGCAGGGAUCCCGCAUGGGGAUAUUUGCUAAAGAUUCAUCGCUGAUAGAUAGGCAUGCGUUCCAUUAGGCAG